AGAGUUUGAUCCUGGCUCAGGACGAACGCUGGCGGCGUGCUUAACACAUGCAAGUCGAACGGUGAUGACCAGCUUGCUGGUCUGAUCAGUGGCGAACGGGUGAGUAACACGUGAGCAACCUGCCCUUCACUCUGGGAUAACCACGGGAAACGGUGGCUAAUACCGGAUAUGAGACGUACACGCAUGUGUCGCGUCUGGAAAGAUUUAUCGGUGAGGGAUGGGCUCGCGGCCUAUCAGCUUGUUGGUGAGGUAAUGGCUCACCAAGGCGACGACGGGUAGCCGGCCUGAGAGGGUGACCGGCCACACUGGGACUGAGACACGGCCCAGACUCCUACGGGAGGCAGCAGUGGGGAAUAUUGCACAAUGGGCGCAAGCCUGAUGCAGCGACGCCGCGUGAGGGAUGAAGGCCUUCGGGUUGUAAACCGCUUUCAGCAGGGACGAAAUUGACGGUACCUGCAGAAGAAGCCCCGGCCAACUACGUGCCAGCAGCCGCGGUAACACGUAGGGGGCAAGCGUUGUCCGGAUUUAUUGGGCGUAAAGAGCUCGUAGGCGGUUUCGUAAGUCGGGUGUGAAAACUCUAGGCUCAACCUAGAGACGCCACCCGAUACUGCGAUGACUAGAGUCCGGUAGGGGAGUGUGGAAUUCCUGGUGUAGCGGUGAAAUGCGCAGAUAUCAGAGGAACACCAACGGCGAAGCAGCACUCUGGGCCGGAACUGACGCUGAGGAGCGAAAGCGUGGUAGCGAACAGGAUUAGAUACUCUGGUAGUCCACGCCGUAA
rnacentral:rRNA from 1 species